UGGGAUUUUGGAAAUA
rnacentral:rRNA from 1 species